UAGUCUACGCCGUAAACGAUGGAUACUAGUUGUUUGGACUUCGGUCUGAGUGACUAAGCGAAAGUGAUAAGUAUCCCACCUGGGGAGUACGUUCGCAAGAAUGAAACUCAAAGGAAUUGACGGGGGCCCGCACAAGCGGUGGAGCAUGUGGUUUAAUUCGAUGAUACGCGAGGAACCUUACCAGGGCUUAAAUGUAUGUUGACAGGUUUAGAGAUAGACUUUUCUUCGGACAAUAUACAAGGUGCUGCAUGGUUGUCGUCAGCUCGUGCCGUGAGGUGUCAGGUUAAGUCCUAUAACGAGCGCAACCCCUGUUGUUAGUUGCCAUCGAGUAAUGUCGGGAACUCUAGCAAGACUGCCGGUGCAAACCGCGAGGAAGGUGGGGAUGACGUCAAAUCAUCACGGCCCUUACGUCCUGGGCCACACACGUGCUACAAUGGUAGGUACAGAGAGCAGCCACUUGGCGCAGGANCGAAUCUAUAAACCUAUACACAGUUCGAUUCGGAUCU
rnacentral:rRNA from 1 species